GCUACCUGAUUCAGCGGCGGACGGGUGAGUAAUGCCUAGGAAUCUGCCCGGUAGUGGGGGACAACGUUUCGAAAGGAACGCUAAUACCGCAUACGUCCUACGGGAGAAAGUGGGGGAUCUUCGGACCUCACGCUAUCGGAUGAGCCUAGGUCGGAUUAGCUAGUUGGUGAGGUAAUGGCUCACCAAGGCGACGAUCCGUAACUGGUCUGAGAGGAUGAUCAGUCACACUGGAACUGAGACACGGUCCAGACUCCUACGGGAGGCAGCAGUGGGGAAUAUUGGACAAUGGGCGAAAGCCUGAUCCAGCCAUGCCGCGUGUGUGAAGAAGGUCUUCGGAUUGUAAAGCACUUUAAGUUGGGAGGAAGGGCAGUAAGUUAAUACCUUGCUGUUUUGACGUUACCAACAGAAUAAGCACCGGCUAACUUCGUGCCAGCAGCCGCGGUAAUACGAAGGGUGCAAGCGUUAAUCGGAAUUACUGGGCGUAAAGCGCGCGUAGGUGGUUCAGCAAGUUGGAUGUGAAAGCCCCGGGCUCAACCUGGGAACUGCAUCCAAAACUACUGAGCUAGAGUACGGUAGAGGGUGGUGGAAUUUCCUGUGUAG
rnacentral:rRNA from 1 species